GCACUGGGGGUUCAGUGGUAGAAUUUUCGCCUCUCAUGCGGGAGACCUGGGUUUGAUUCCUGGCCAAUACG
rnacentral:tRNA from 1 species